GAUUCUGGCUCAGGAUGAACGCUAGCGGCAGGCUUAACACAUGCAAGUCGAGGGGCAUCGGGAGUAGCAAUACUUGCCGGCGACCGGCGCAAGGGUGCGUAACGCGUGAGCAACAUGCCCGUAUCAGGGGGAUAAUCCAUGGAAACGUGGUCUAAUACCCCAUAGUAAUUAUGUAAGGCAUCUUAUAUAAUUUAAAGCUUUGGUGGAUACGGAUUGGCUCGCGUGACAUUAGCUAGAUGGUAAGGUAACGGCUUACCAUGGCUACGAUGUCUAGGGGUUCUGAGAGGAAGGUCCCCCACACUGGAACUGAGACACGGUCCAGACUCCUACGGGAGGCAGCAGUGAGGAAUAUUGGACAAUGGAUGGAAAUCUGAUCCAGCCAUGCCGCGUGCAGGAAGACGGCCCUAUGGGUUGUAAACUGCUUUUGUAUGGGAGCAAUAAGGGCUACGCGUAGUCCGAUGAGAGUACCAUACGAGUAAGCACCGGCUAACUCCGUGCCAGCCGCAGC
rnacentral:rRNA from 1 species